rnacentral:rRNA from 1 species
UACACGCUGUGACUAGCAUAUCAAUAAGCGGAGGAAAAGAAACUAACAAGGAUUCCCCUAGUAACGGCGAGUGAAGCGGGAAGAGCUCAAAUUUGAAAUCUUAAAGGGUUUCCCUUUACGAAUUGUAGUUUAAAGAAGUGUUUUCUGUUGAGGUUUUGGUAAAAGUUCUUUGGAAUAGGACAUCAUAGAGGGUGAGAAUCCCGUAUUUGACCUUUACUUUCAACUUUGUGAUACACUUUCAAAGAGUCGGAUUGUUUGGGAAUGCAGUCCAAAAUGGGUGGUAAAUUUCAUCUAAAGCUAAAUAUUGGCGAGAGACCGAUAGCGAACAAGUACCGUGAGGGAAAGAUGAAAAGAACUUUGAGAAGAGAGUUAAACAGUACGUGAAAUUGUCAAAAGGGAAGCGUUUGACACCAGUGUUGUUUUCUGAAAAUCAAUUAAAGAACUGUUUAUGCUAAGCUGUUUAGACUUUAUCAGCUAUCUGUUUAGUUUUGAGCUUUUCUUUAAUACACUUUUCAGUUAACAAGUCAACAUCAAUUUCUUUUGCUGUAAAAAAGCUUGAGGAAGGUGUCUUGAGAUUCGUCUUAAGUGUUUAUAGCCUCUUGCCUAUGCAGUCGGAGAGAUUGAGGUCUGCAGCGUAGAUCCUUCGGGGCUAAAUGCAUUUGUGCUAAGUUAUAGCAUUUUAUAGACAACUUGUUGACUAUGAUUUGUCUUGUAGCUUACUCGCUUAUGUUAUUUUACCUACGCUUAGGAUGUUGAAGAUGUAGCACAUCAU